AAUACUAUCACCUAGUGGAUAUGGAAUUGAACUGCACAGUUCUGCAAAUGGACUACAGCAAGAAUGCUCUGGCACUCUUUGUUCUUCCCAAGGAGGGACAGAUGGAGUCAGUGGAAGCUGCCAUGUCAUCUAAAACACUGAAGAAGUGGAACCGCUUACUACAGAAGGGAUGGGUUGACUUGUUUGUUCCAAAGUUUUCCAUUUCUGCCACAUAUGACCUUGGAGCCACACUUUUGAAGAUGGGCAUUCAGCAUGCCUAUUCUGAAAAUGCUGAUUUUUCUGGACUCACAGAGGACAAUGGUCUGAAACUUUCCAAUACCUUCCCAAAGACUGUUCCUGUUUCUUCAGAGACCCGCAGGAUUUGUUCUCCCCACACAGGCUGCCCAUAAGGCUGU
rnacentral:sRNA from 1 species